GAUGAACGCUGGCGGCGUGCCUAACACAUGCAAGUCGAGCGAAGCACCUACUUUAGCUUUCUUCGGAAUGACGAAGUUUGUGACUGAGCGGCGGACGGGUGAGUAACGCGUGGGCAACCUGCCCUGUACAGGGGGAUAACAGUUAGAAAUGACUGCUAAUACCGCAUAAGCCCACAGCUUCGCAUGAAGCAGUGGGAAAAAAUCCGGUGGUACAGGAUGGGCCCGCGUCUGAUUAGCUAGUUGGUAAGGUAACGGCUUACCAAGGUGACGAUCAGUAGCCGACCUGAGAGGGUGACCGGCCACAUUGGGACUGAGACACGGCCCAAACUCCUACGGGAGGCAGCAGUGGGGAAUAUUGCACAAUGGGGGAAACCCUGAUGCAGCGACGCCGCGUGAGCGAUGAAGUAUUUCGGUAUGUAAAGCUCUAUCAGCAGGGAAGAAAGUGACGGUACCUGACUAAGAAGCCCCGGCUAACUACGUG
rnacentral:rRNA from 1 species